GACGAACGCUGGCGGCGUGCUUAACACAUGCAAGUCGAACGAUGAAGCUGGAGCUUGCUCCGGUGGAUUAGUGGCGAACGGGUGAGUAACACGUGCGCAAUCUGUCCUUCACUCUGGGAUAACUGCGGGAAACCGUAGCAAAUACCGGAUCCGAUGCUUGGAGGCAUCUCCAGGACUGGAAAGAAUUUCGGUGAAGGAUGAGCUCGCGGCCUAUCAGCUUGUUGGUGAGGUAAUGGCUCACCAAGGCGACGACGGGUAGCCGGCCUGAGAGGGGGACCGGCCACACUGGGACGGAGACACGGCCCAGACUCCUACGGGAGGCAGCAGUGGGGAAUAUUGCACAAUGGGCGAAAGCCUGAUGCAGCAACGCCGCGUGAGGGAUGAAGGCCUUCGGGUUGUAAACCUCUUUUAGCAGGGAAGAAGCGAAAGUGACGGUACCUACAGAAAAAGCACCGGCUAACUACGUGCCAGCCGCCGCCGUAA
rnacentral:rRNA from 1 species